UACGGGGGGGGCAAGCGUUGUUCGGAAUUACUGGGCGUAAAGGGCUCGUAGGCGGCCAACUAAGUCAGACGUGAAAUCCCUCGGCUUAACCGGGGAACUGCAUCUGAUACUGGAUGGCUUGAGUUCGGGAGAGGGAUGCGGAAUUCCAGGUGUAGCGGUGAAAUGCGUAGAUAUCUGGGGGAACACCGGUGGCGAAGGCGGCAUCCUGGACCGACACUGACGCUGAGGAGCGAAAGCCAGGGGAGCAAACGGG
rnacentral:rRNA from 1 species